AGAGUUUGAUCCUGGCUCAGAAUCAACGCUGGCGGCGUGCCUAACACAUGCAAGUCGAACGCGAAAGCCCCUUCGGGGGUAAGUAGAGUGGCGUCCGGGUGAGUAACACGUGGGUAAUCUACCUUCGGGUGGGGAAUAACCCAGGGAAACUUGGGCUAAUACCGCAUAAUGCAGCGGCACCUAAUGGUGAUUAGUUGUUAAAGCGGGGGAUCGCAAGACCUCGCGCCUGAAGAGGAGCCUGCGGCAGAUUAGCUAGUUGGUGAGGUAAUGGCUCACCAAGGCUGCGAUCUGUAGCUGGUCUGAGAGGACGGCCAGCCACACUGGCACUGACACACGGGCCAGACUCCUACGGGAGGCAGCAGUGGGGAAUUUUGGGCAAUGGGCGAAAGCCUGACCCAGCAACGCCGCGUGAGGGAGGAAAUCCUUCGGGAUGUAAACCUCACAAGCAAGGGAAGAGAGCUGCGGGCUGAAUAAUCCUGCAGUACGACGGUACCUUGCGUAAGCCACGGCUAACUACGUGCCAGCAGCCGCGGUAAUACGUAGGUGGCAAGCGUUGUUCGGAAUUAUUGGGCGUAAAGGGCGCGUAGGCGGCUUGUUAAGUCGGCUGUGAAAGCCCGGGGCUCAACCCCGGAGGGUCAGCCGAUACCGGCAAGCUAGAGUACGGAAGAGGUAGCUGGAAUUCCCGGUGUAGCGGGUGAAAUGCGUAGAUAUCGGGAGGAACAUCUGAGGCGAAGGCGGGCUACUGUGCCGAUACUGACGCUGAUGCACGAAAGCCAGGGGACCGAACGGGAUUAGAUACCCCGGGUAGUCCUGGCCCUAAUAUGAUUGACACUU
rnacentral:rRNA from 1 species